AAUGCCAGCAAGGAAAGGAUUGCUUGCACCACAAAAUACUUUUCUGGAUACGAUUGCCACCCGGUUUGAUGGAACACACUCAAACUUUGUUCUUGGAAAUGCACAGGCGAAUGGAAAUCCAAUUGUUUAUUGCUCGGAUGGCUUCGUGGAUCUGACUGGAUAUUCACGUGCGCAAAUCAUGCAAAAAGGAUGUUCGUGUCAUUUUUUGUAUGGACCAGAAACAAAAGAGGAGCACAAAGUACAAAUAGAAAAAAGUCUGAUGAACAAAACGGAACUGAAGCUUGAAGUAAUAUUUUACAAAAA